rnacentral:rRNA from 1 species
GACGAACGCUGGCGGCGUGCUUAACACAUGCAAGUCGAACGAGUGGCGAACGGGUGAGUAACGCGUAUCAACCUGCACUUCAGCGGGGGAUAACUACUGGAAACGGUAGCUAAUACCGCAUCCCAUCGGAUGAGCCCAUAUGGGAUUAGCUCGUAGGGGGGGUAACGGCACACCUAGGCGACGAUCCCUAGCGGGUCUGAGAGGAUGACCAGCCACACUGUAACGGUGACACGGUCCAUACUCCUACGGGAGGCAGCAGUGGGGAAUAUUGCACAAUGGGCGCAAGCCGGCUGCAGCCAUUCCGCGUGUAUGAAGAAGGCCUUCGGGUUGUAAAGUACUUUCAGCGAGGAGGCGUUACUCACAGAAGAAGCACCGGCUAACUCCGGGCCAGCAGCCGCGGUAAUAC